rnacentral:lncRNA from 1 species
AUCAUAAUCAUACAGGACAAAAAUGUUGCUUAUUAAAGGUUUUGCUAGUUCGCAAAGAGAGUUCGACUGGUGAUUUGAUAAAGAACGGAUGAACAGGUACCCAUUCGGUUUCAAGUGGAACUGGUUCAACCGAUUUUUAAAACAUUCACUCGGUUUUAGAAAUUGCCAUUCAUAUUUAAAAGCUAGUGACGUGUUUAAGCAAUCCUAUUCCCAGAGGUUUAUUCUAAGAAACAACUUCCCCAACUAACCUAAAAGGUAGAACAAAGAUCUGCUGAUAGGAAAACUGGAUAACAAAUAUUGGAACUUAGAAGAAAAAGAAAAAAGAGUAAUAGUAGUAGGCAAAGUAAUGAUCAUCAAAAGGUGAUAGAGUGGCUACUAAUUAAGCAAACCCACUCUUAUAUAGAAGAUCAAACCAUUUCAGAUUAUUUAAGCAGAACUUUAGGACAACACAUAACUACUAACACCAUUACAUUUCUAGUUCUCUCUUUGAAUCAAAGUUUUUGAUGGUAACAAAAUGCUCAAAAUAUCAAAAUCAAAUCAGGAGCGCUGAUCUUAAAAGAGAAUGACAUAGACGGCAGAUGACAGAGCGGUCCAUGAAUGACGUGGUGAACCAUGUCGAUUUUCUCGUCUAUGGGCUUUGAUAGCCGAGCUAGGCCGAAUGGACCGAUAAAUGGCCCAGAUGGAUUUGGUUUGGCCUCGUUGGAGACUCCGUUGAUAAGUAUAUUUAGUUGGGCCUAAGUCUAUUUUUGGGCCAUCUCGUUUUUACCCAAAUAUAGAACUAUUUGUGCAAAAAUUAAAUCUUUAUUAAUUGUGCACAAAAGGUUAAAAUAUGUGGAGACUCCGUCUACUAUAGACCGUUUUGAAAUAGACCCUAACUUUUUUUUUUUUGAUUGAAUUUUAUUAAAUUUAAUGCCUCUAUUAGUUAUUAUUUAUUGAUUUGUCUAGUUAACGAACAUGAAAGCAUGUCUAAUUUAAAUGAUUACUAUAUCACCCUAUUACUCGGGGUCUCCAUACAUACACUUUUACCCCUACAAAAUCUUUCAUGCCCUGUUUCAACUGUCCCCCAGUUAAUGCUGUUAAUUGUAUUAACAUAUUUCAUGAAUUGUCGACCAUCAGGUUGUCGACAUUUGGACUGAGCCAGCUGUGAUGUACUUACGUUGUCAUGUCAUCUAGCGAGUAUCUUAUACCAGAUAUGAAUCGCGAACUCUAAAACAGAAUGCCGAGCUCUCUGCAAAGCAGGCUCCAUGUGGUGAGAUGAUCUAUACGGGAGGUGGACUAACCAAUUGUCCUGAUGCUCGAAAAGAUAAAACAAAAAAAAAAAAAAAAAAAAAUAAAGGAAAAAAAAANAUCUCGUUUUUGCCCAAAUAUAGAACUAUUUGUGCAAAAAUUAAAUCUUUAUUAAUUAUGCACAAAAGGUUAAAAUAUGUGGAGACUCCGUCUACUAUAGACCGUUUUGAAAUAGACCCUAACUUUUUUUUUUGAUUGAAUUUUUAUUAAAUUUAAUGCCUCUAUUAGUUAUUAUUUAUUGAUUUGUCUACUUAACGAACAUGAAAGCAUGUCUAAUUUAAAUGAUUACUCUAUCACCCUAUUACUCGGGGUCUCCAUACAUACACUUUUACCCAUACAAAAUCUUUCAUGCCCUGUUUCAACUGUCCCCCAGUUAAUGCUGUUAAUUGUAUUAACAUAUUUCAUGAAUUGUCGACCAUCAGGAUGUCAAUAUUUGGACUAAGCAAGCUGUGAUGUACUUAUGUUGCGAGUAUCUUAUACCAUAUAUGAAUCGCGAACUCUGAAACAGAACGCUGAGCUCUCUGCAAAGAAGGCUCCAUGCGGUGAGAUGAUCUCUACGGGCGGUGGACUAAUCAAUUGUCCUUACGCUCAAAAAGAUAAAACAAAUUGGUGGGGAUGAUCUCCAACGUAAGAUUGCUUGAUCCACUGGUCACUCAACUUUGAAAUUU